rnacentral:rRNA from 1 species
AUUGAACGCUGGCGGCAGGCCUAACACAUGCAAGUCGAACGGUAACAGGAAGCAGCUUGCUGCUUCGCUGACGAGUGGCGGACGGGUGAGUAAUGUCUGGGAAACUGCCUGAUGGAGGGGGAUAACUACUGGAAACGGUAGCUAAUACCGCAUAACGUCGCAAGACCAAAGAGGGGGACCUUCGGGCCUCUUGCCAUCGGAUGUGCCCAGAUGGGAUUAGCUAGUAGGUGGGGUAACGGCUCACCUAGGCGACGAUCCCUAGCUGGUCUGAGAGGAUGACCAGCCACACUGGAACUGAGACACGGUCCAGACUCCUACGGGAGGCAGCAGUGGGGAAUAUUGCACAAUGGGCGCAAGCCUGAUGCAGCCAUGCCGCGUGUAUGAAGAAGGCCUUCGGGUUGUAAAGUACUUUCAGCGGGGAGGAAGGCGAUAAGGUUAAUAACCUUGUCGAUUGACGUUACCCGCAGAAGAAGCACCGGCUAACUCCGUGCCAGCAGCCGCGGUAAUACGGAGGGUGCAAGCGUUAAUCGGAAUUACUGGGCGUAAAGCGCACGCAGGCGGUCUGUCAAGUCGGAUGUGAAAUCCCCGGGCUCAACCUGGGAACUGCAUUCGAAACUGGCAGGCUAGAGUCUUGUAGAGGGGGGUAGAAUUCCAGGUGUAGCGGUGAAAUGCGUAGAGAUCUGGAGGAAUACCGGUGGCGAAGGCGGCCCCCUGGACAAAGACUGACGCUCAGG